UCCCUGGCAGUCCAGUGGUUAGGACUUCUUGCUCUUACUGCCAAGAGCCCAGGUUCAAACCCUGGUCAGGGAA
rnacentral:tRNA from 1 species